rnacentral:rRNA from 1 species
GAUGAACGCUAGCUACAGGCUUAACACAUGCAAGUCGAGGGGCAGCAUGGUCUUAGCUUGCUAAGGCCGAUGGCGACCGGCGCACGGGUGAGUAACACGUAUCCAACCUGCCGUCUACUCUUGGACAGCCUUCUGAAAGGAAGAUUAAUACAAGAUGGCAUCAUGAGUCCGCAUGUUCACAUGAUUAAAGGUAUUCCGGUAGACGAUGGGGAUGCGUUCCAUUAGAUAGUAGGCGGGGUAACGGCCCACCUAGUCUUCGAUGGAUAGGGGUUCUGAGAGGAAGGUCCCCCACAUUGGAACUGAGACACGGUCCAAACUCCUACGGGAGGCAGCAGUGAGGAAUAUUGGUCAAUGGGCGAGAGCCUGAACCAGCCAAGUAGCGUGAAGGAUGACUGCCCUAUGGGUUGUAAACUUCUUUUAUAAAGGAAUAAAGUCGGGUAUGCAUACCCGUUUGCAUGUACUUUAUGAAUAAGGAUCGGCUAACUCCGUGCCAGCAGCCGCGGUAAUACGGAGGAUCCGAGCGUUAUCCGGAUUUAUUGGGUUUAAAGGGAGCGUAGAUGGAUGUUUAAGUCAGUUGUGAAAGUUUGCGGCUCAACCGUAAAAUUGCAGUUGAUACUGGAUAUCUUGAGUGCAGUUGAGGCAGGCGGAAUUCGUGGUGUAGCGGUGAAAUGCUUAGAUAUCACGAAGAACUCCGAUUGCGAAGGCAGCCUGCUAAGCUGCAACUGACAUUGAGGCUCGAAAGUGUGGGUAUCAAACAGGAUUAGAUACCCUGGUAGUCCACACGGUAAACGAUGAAUACUCGCUGUUUGCGAUAUACAGCAAGCGGCCAAGCGAAAGCGUUAAGUAUUCCACCUGGGGAGUACGCCGGCAACGGUGAAACUCAAAGGAAUUGACGGGGGCCCGCACAAGCGGAGGAACAUGUGGUUUAAUUCGAUGAUACGCGAGGAACCUUACCCGGGCUUAAAUUGCAGAUGAAUUACGGUGAAAGCCGUAAGCCGCAAGGCAUCUGUGAAGGUGCUGCAUGGUUGUCGUCAGCUCGUGCCGUGAGGUGUCGGCUUAAGUGCCAUAACGAGCGCAACCCUUGUUGUCAGUUACUAACAGGUUCCGCUGAGGACUCUGACAAGACUGCCAUCGUAAGAUGUGAGGAAGGUGGGGAUGACGUCAAAUCAGCACGGCCCUUACGUCCGGGGCUACACACGUGUUACAAUGGGGGGUACAGAGGGCCGCUACCACGCGAGUGGAUGCCAAUCCCAAAAACCUCUCUCAGUUCGGACUGGAGUCUGCAACCCGACUCCACGAAGCUGGAUUCGCUAGUAAUCGCGCAUCAGCCACGGCGCGGUGAAUACGUUCCCGGGCCU